AUCUUGCGUCCCAAAUUGCCCUUGGAAAGUCUAUGCACUGUCGGUGCAAGUCCUCCAUAUAAAAAGCAAGAAGACAGUUGAGAUCGUUUGGACUUUUACAUGAUUGCUCACUGAUUAGUGGUACUUUUGUGGCAGCGGUUUGCUGGUCGUUGCGUUGAAUCGAAGCCGUCCUCCUACUUCGAUUUGCUGAAACGCAAGGGAGUGGAUGCAUCGGUGGUGGAUAAAUUGAAAGACUGCGUUCCACCAUUGGAGACUGCUCUAAAUUCCUCUAUUAAGGAAAAUAACGCUUUUGUCAGAGAUGUCUUGGUGGGCAAGGCAAGAAUCCAUUUGCAGUCGCAAUUGACCUGGCACAUUUUUUAAAAAUAGUAUUCAAUGAAAUUAUUGAUGGGCAGAGAUGUCUGCAACAUGUUAUAUUUUCAAUGAAUUGGGCAACCUUACGACCACUUCUGAUUUUCAACAAAAGUUGGUGAAGUGGCGAUGGAUUUAUCACUUUCAAAUUCUGGGUGUUCUGAUUGUGAUGUGUCCAAAUCAUACUUUAGAAUGUUGUGCUAAAUAGUCUCUUGCCAUUGUUGAACAAUAUGAUUACCUCAAAAUUUCUGUGUAUAUCUAUUUGAUAAAAAACAGAUAAUUAAUUGUGGGCAAGGUUUCUGUGUUUGAUUCAUGAACAUCUUAUUUGCUUC